CGAAACAGAAAUCCGUGGGUGCCUUGUAUUUAUAUUUGUACUCCUUGCCGUAGUAGACAUUCACGUUGUCGAACUGGACGAAGCAAGCCAAGUCGCGCGACGUCUGUAGAGGAAGAGGAGAGGCAGUGAAGCCCUGCAGGCUGCCACCCCCAACCAAGAAACAUCCCACAGAAUUCUGACCUUGCUCUUUCCUUUGGGAACAUAAUAAAUCCCAGAAGCCCGCAGCAGGAAGUAA